rnacentral:rRNA from 1 species
GUAACGCGUGAGGAACCUGCCUUCCAGAGGGGGACAACAGUUGGAAACGACUGCUAAUACCGCAUGAUGCGUUGGAGCCGCAUGACUCCGACGUCAAAGAUUUAUCGCUGGAAGAUGGCCUCGCGUCUGAUUAGCUAGUUGGUGAGGUAACGGCCCACCAAGGCGACGAUCAGUAGCCGGACUGAGAGGUUGGCCCGGCCACAUUGGGACUGAGAUACGGCCCAGACUCCGUACGGGAGGCAGCAG